AUGCUUGCUUUGGCUACACCUAUACUAAAAUUCUAACUAUAUAUGGCCUCUGCACAAGGAUGACAUGGACAUUCGUGAAGCAUUCUAUAUUUUU
rnacentral:snRNA from 1 species